rnacentral:lncRNA from 1 species
UUUAUCAUAAAAAGCUUGAGAACGACAAUGGAUUUACCCCAGAUACAAAGUUUAGUGUUAGAAGGGGGCAAAGAUGUUUUCAGCAAACCAGAAGCUACUAGAAGGAAGUGCCUUCUGGAGGUUGAACAAGCUUACGGUUAUGCGACGCAGUCAUUUCCUUCUUCAGCUGUACCAGUAUAUCUUCCAUUGUGUACUCCCUUUGCCAGUUCGCAAGAAGCCCGAACUUCUUGGGAUCCACCUAUACAUUACAGAUGCAUAUUCAGACAUAAGUUACCGAAAGGAACGAGACAGAGAAUUGGCAGGGUGAUGAUUUUUAUGUGUACCACUCCUGUUUCAUGGUUGACACAAGUCAUGUUGAUACGUGAAUGGAACCGGACAGUGGGAGGUUUCUCAGGGUAAUCUUUGUCACAAAAGAGCUUCAACUGAUAGAUCCUACCUUCAUGAACAGUCUGCUCAUAGAAGAAGAUAAAAAAAAAAAAAAAAUAGAUAUCUGUAAGGACAAGCAGAAACAAGAACCUUAGUGCUAAAGAAAAAAGCUUAGGAUAAGAGCAUUGAUCAAUGCUUAUUAAAAGGAGAAAGAUAUAAGUACGUUGUGAGGAGCGAUGAUAGUGCCAGUCCAAGAGCGCAUGUAAAUGUCAUCACCAUAUUUUUUUUUAUCAUAAAAAGCUUGAGAACGACAAUGGAUUUACCCCAGAUACAAAGUUUAGUGUUAGAAGGGGGCAAAGAUGUUUUCAGCAAACCAGAAGCUACUAGAAGGAAGUGCCUUCUGGAGGUUGAACAAGCUUACGGUUAUGCGACGCAGUCAUUUCCUUCUUCAGCUGUACCAGUAUAUCUUCCAUUGUGUACUCCCUUUGCCAGUUCGCAAGAAGCCCGAACUUCUUGGGAUCCACCUA